GGAGAGUGCAAGCGUUAAUCGGAAUUACUGGGCGUAAAGCGCGCGUAGGUGGAUAUUUUAGUCGGAUGUGAAAUCCCCGGGCUUAACCUGGGAACUGCACUCGAUACUGGGUAUCUAGAGUAUGGUAGAGGGAAGUGGAAUUUCCGGUGUAGCGGUGAAAUGCGUAGAUAUCGGAAGGAACACCAGUGGCGAAGGCGGCUUCCUGGAUCAAUACUGACACUGAGGUGCGAAAGCGUGGGGAGCAAACAGGGAUUAGAUACCCUGGUAGUCCACGCCGUCAACGAUGAGAACUAGAUGUUGGGAGGGGGAUCCUCUUAGUAUCGUAGCUAACGCGUUAAGUUCUCCGCCUGGGGAGUACGGCCGCAAGGUUA
rnacentral:rRNA from 1 species